rnacentral:tRNA from 1 species
GAGGUGGGGCUCAGGGGGAGAGCACUUGCCUGGGACUCAUGAGGCCCUGGGUUCGAGCCUCAGCACCACA